CGCCGCCGAGGAUUCAGCAGCCUCCCCCUUGAGCCCCCUCGCUUCCCGACGUUCCGUUCCCCCCUGCCCGCCUUCUCCCGCCACCGCCGCCGCCGCCUUCCGCAGGCCGUUUCCACCGAGGAAAAGGAAUCGUAUCGUAUGUCCGCUAUCCAGAACCUCCACUCUUUCGACCCCUUUGCUGAUGCAAGUAAGGGUGAUGACCUGCUUCCUGCUGGCACUGAGGAUUAUAUCCAUAUAAGAAUUCAACAGAGAAACGGCAGGAAGACCCUUACUACUGUCCAAGGGAUCGCUGAUGAUUACGAUAAAAAGAAACUAGUGAAGGCGUUUAAGAAAGUAGUUUGCCUGCAAUGGUACUGUAAUUGAGCAUCCGGAAUAUGGAGAAGUAAUUCAGCUACAGGGUGACCAACGCAAGAACAUAUGCCAGUUCCUCGUAGAGAUUGGACUGGCUAAGGACGAUCAGCUGAAGGUUCAUGGGUUUUAAGUGCUUGUGGCUCACUGAAGCUUAAGUGAGGAUUUCCUUGCAAUGAGUAGAAUUUCCCUUCUCUCCCUUGUCACAGGUUUAAAAACCUCACAGCUUGUAUAAUGUAACCAUUUGGGGUCCGCUUUUAACUUGGACUAGUGUAACUCCUUCAUGCAAUAAACUGAAAAGAGCCAUGCUGUCUAGUCUUGAAGUCCCUCAUUUAAACAGAGGUCAAGCAAUAGGCGCCUGGCAGUGUCAAGCCUGAAACCAAGCAAUACCGUCAUGUUUCAGCCAAGCCCAGAGCCCUAAGAUUACAAACAACUAUGGCCGGAACCUCCUCAGCUCUCCCUCUGCAGAGUUCCCUACCCUAAGAGAAUGUUACCACCUGAACAGUCCUCGGUGAAUCUGAGAGGAGAGGAUGGGGUAAGGCAGAAGCACCAGCUGUACUACUAGAAGGGAGCUUUUGGUGGUAGAUCCCCUGGUGUCUCCAACCUGACUAGGUGGACAGAGCUCAAAGAGGCCCUCUUACCGCUAGCGAGGUGAUAGGACAUCUGGCUUGCCACAAAGGUCUGUUCGACCAGACAUAUCCUAGCUAAGGGAUGUCCAAACAUCAGAAUGUGAGGCCAACCUUCUAUCAGAGUUAAACUUUUGACAAGGGAACAAAUCUCAAACUGAUCCAUCAGUCAUGUAGCUAGCUGUAGAGCUUGCAACUUAAUAGCAGCAGCUGCCCAAUGCCAUGUGAAGUAACAAACUGGUUUUUGGUUUUUUUUUCCCCUUCAGUUUUAAUGUUAUGUGUAAUGUAUUUAAACCCUUAUUUAAAUAAAACUUGUUUUCAG
rnacentral:lncRNA from 1 species